AUACGGUAGGGGGCGAGCGUUAUUCGGAAUUACUGGGUGUAAAGGGUAUGUAGGCGGCCCUUCAAGUCGCGUGUCAAAGUCCAGUGCUCAACGCUGGGUGUGCACGCGAUACUGACGGGCUUGAGGGCUGGAGAGGUGAGCGGAAUUCCCGGUGUAGUAGGUAAAAUACGUAGAGAUCGGGAGGAACACCAACGGCGCAGGCGGUUCACUAGACUAGUUUCUGACGCU
rnacentral:rRNA from 1 species